rnacentral:rRNA from 1 species
CCUACGGGUGGCUGCAGUGGGGAAUAUUGCGCAAUGGGCGCAAGCCUGACCCAGCAACGCCGCGUGUAGGAAGACGGCUUUCGGGUUGUAAACUUCUUUUCUCAGGGACGAAGCAAGUCACGGUACCUGAUGAAUAAGCCACGGCUAACUACGUGCCAGGAGCCGCGGUAAUGCGUGGGUGGCAAGCGUUAUUCGGAUUUACUGGGUGUAAAGGGAGCGUAGACGGUGGGCCAAGCGUGGAGUGAAAUGCCGCAGCUUAAAUGCGGAACUGCUUUGGAAACUGGCGAACUAGAGUGCGGGAGAGGCAAGCGGAAUUCCUAGUGUAGCGGUGAAAUGCGUAGAUAUUAGGAGGAACACCGGUGGCGAAGGCGGCCUACUGGACCGUAACUGACGUUGAGGCUCGAAAGUGUGGGGAGCAAACAGGAUUAGAUACCCCAGUAGUC